UACGAAGGGGGCUAGCGUUGCUCGGAAUUACUGGGCGUAAAGCGCACGUAGGCGGCUUUCUAAGUCGGGGGUGAAAUCCUGGAGCUCAACUCCAGAACUGCCUUCGAUACUGGAAAGCUCGAGUCCGGGAGAGGUGAGUGGAACUGCGAGUGUAGAGGUGAAAUUCGUAGAAUAUUCGCAAGAACACCAGUGGCGAAGGCGGCUCACUGGCCCGGUACUGACGCUCAUGUGCGAAAGCGUGGGGAGCAAACAGG
rnacentral:rRNA from 1 species